rnacentral:rRNA from 1 species
AUAUUAUUAAGCGGAGGAAAAGAAAACAACAGUGAUUUCCUUAGUACUGGCGAACGAACAGGAAAAAGCUCAAAUUUAAAAUCUACUGUGUGUAUUAUGCAGUUGAAUUGUAGUUUUAAUGUUCAGACUUAUUUUAGAAUCUGGUUGAUUUAAAUUUUACUGGAAUGAAAUACCAUAGAGGGUGAAAGUCCCGUAUUUAAUCAAUUAAGGUAGAAUUUUAAGAUUUUAAAACAUAUUUCUGUUCAAAAGAGUCGAGUUGUUUGGGAUUACAGCUCAAAAUGGGUGGUAAAUUUCAUCUAAAGCUAAAUAUUGACGAGAGACCGAUAGCGAACAAGUACCGUGAGG